UAACAAGGUUUCUGUAGGUGAACCAGCGGAGGGAUCAUU
rnacentral:rRNA from 1 species